ACCCAUUGUUCAUACAGUAGCAUGUUAUUUAGUCUCCAGAUGUUGGAGUGGAUUUUAUUUUUUAUUUUAAUAUUGAUUUCUAAUUUCAUUCCAUUAUGAUCUGAUAGAAUGCAGGGUAGUAUCUCUACUUUUUUAUAUUUGCUAAGAGUUGCUUUGUGGCAUAGCAUAUGAUCUAUUUUAGAGAAGGAUCCAUAUGCUGCUGAGAAGAAAGUAUAUUCUCCCAUUGAAGGUUGGAAUAUUCUAUAGAUGCCAGUUAAGUCUAAGUUAUUGGUUGUAUUAUUGAGUUCUAUAAUUCCUUUGUUCAGCUUUUGCUUGGAAGAUCUAUGUAGUGAUGAAAGAGGUGUAUCAAAGUCACCCAAAAUUAUUGUGUUGUGGUCAAUUUGACUCUUAACUUGAGAAGAAUUUGAUGAACGUAGCUGCUCAUUUGUUUGGGGCAUAUAUAUUUAUAAUUGUUAAGUCUUGUUGCUGUAUGGUUCUCUUGAGCAGUAUGUAGUGUCCUUAUUUAUCCUUUUUCAUUGACUUUAGUUUGAAGUCUACUUUAUCUGAUAUGAGGAUGGAAACCCCUGCUUGCUUCUGCAGUCCACAUGAGUGGUCUAAUUUUCCCCAACCCUUCACCUUCAGUCUGUGAAUGUCUUUUUCUAUGAUUAUUGGUAUUAGUUCUUCAUUAAUGGUCUUGUAGAACUCAGCUGUGUAUCCAUCCAGUCCUGGGCUUUUCUUGGUUGGCAGAAUUUUGAUGGCACCUGCUAUUUUGGGUCAUAUUGGUGGGUCUUUUUUUUUUUUUUAUCCAAUCUGCUAGUCUAUGUCUUUUGAUUGGUGAGUUUAAGCCAUUAACAUUCAGGGUUAUUAUUGAGACAUGAUUUGUAUUCCCAAACAUUUUUGUUUAUUUUUGGUAUUUAACAUGACUUGGUUUCUCCUCUGAUUAGAUUUUCCUUUAGUGUAGUCCCUCCCUCUGCUGAUUUUCAUCAUUGUUUUUCAUUUCCUCUUCUUGGAAUAUUUUGCUGAGGAUGUUCUCUAGUGCAGGCUUUCUAGUUGUAAAUUCUAACUUUUGCUUAUCAUGGAAGAUUUUUAUUUCAUCAACAAAUCUAAAGCUUAGUUUUGCUGGAUAUAAGAUUUUUGGUUGGUUUCCAUUUUCUUUCAGAGCUUGGUAUAUGUUGUUCCACGAUCUCUUGAAUUUGAGGUUCUGGGUUGAAAAAUCUGCUGAGAUACGAAUUGGUCCCCCCCCCCAUAUGUGACCUGAUUCCUCUCUCUUGGCGGCUUUUAAGAUUCUAUCCUUAUUCUGUAUGCUAGACAUUUUCAUUAUAAGGUGAUUUGGUGUAGAUCUGUUGUAAUUUUGUACAUUUGGUGUCCUGUAAACCUCUUGUAUUUGGUUUUCCAAUUCAUUCUUCAUGCUUGGAAAAUUUUCUGAAAUUAUCUCAUUGAAGAGAUUGUACAUUCCUUUGGUUUGAAACUCCAUGCUUUCCUCUAUCCCAGUAACUCUUAGAUUUGGUCUUUUUGAUGCUAUCCCAUAAUUCUUGGAUGUUCUGUUCAUGGUUUCUAACUUUCUUCACUAUGUGAUCAACUUUAUUUUCCAGAUUGUAUAUUUUGUCUUAUUAUCUGAUGUUUUUUUCUUC
rnacentral:lncRNA from 1 species